UACGAAGGGGGCUAGCGUUGCUCAGAAUCACUGGGCGUAAAGGGUGCGUAGGCGGGUCUUUAAGUCAGGGGUGAAAUCCUGGAGCUCAACUCCAGAACUGCCUUUGAUACUGAGGAUCUUGAGUUCGGGAGAGGUGAGUGGAACUGCGAGUGUAGAGGUGAAAUUCGUAGAUAUUCGCAAGAACACCAGUGGCGAAGGCGGCUCACUGGCCCGGUACUGACGCUGAGGUGCGAAAGCGUGGGGAGCAAACAGG
rnacentral:rRNA from 1 species